CUACGGGGGGCAGCAGUGAGGAAUAUUGCACAAUGGGGGGAACCCUGAUGCAGCAACGCCGCGUGGAGGAUGACGCAUUUCGGUGUGUAAACUCCUUUUAUAUGUCAAGAAAAUGACGGUAGCAUAUGAAUAAGCACCGGCUAACUCCGUGCCAGCAGCCGUGGUAAUAAGGAGGGUGCAAGCGUUACUCGGAAUCACUGGGCGUAAAGGACGCGUAGGCGGGUUGGAAAGUCAGGUGUGAAAUCCUACAGCUUAACUGUAGAACUGCACUUGAAACUUCUAAUCUAGAGUAUGGGAGGGGGAGAUGGAAUUAGUGGUGUAGGGGUAAAAUCCGUAGAUAUCACUAGGAAUACCUAAAGCGAAGGCGAUCUCCUGGAACAUUACUGACGCUAAGGCGUGAAAGCGUGGGGAGCAAACAGGAUUAGAUACCCCCGUAGUC
rnacentral:rRNA from 1 species